GAUGAACGCUGGCGGCGUGCCUAAUACAUGCAAGUCGAGCGAACAGACGAGGAGCUUGCUCCUCUGACGUUAGCGGCGGACGGGUGAGUAACACGUGGAUAACCUACCUAUAAGACUGGGAUAACUUCGGGAAACCGGAGCUAAUACCGGAUAAUAUAUUGAACCGCAUGGUUCAAUAGUGAAAGACGGUUUUGCUGUCACUUAUAGAUGGAUCCGCGCCGCAUUAGUUAGUUGGUAAGGUAACGGCUUACCAAGGCGACGAUGCGUAGCCGACCUGAGAGGGUGAUCGGCCACACUGGAACUGAGACACGGUCCAGACUCCUACGGGAGGCAGCAGUAGGGAAUCUUCCGCAAUGGGCGAAAGCCUGACGGAGCAACGCCGCGUGAGUGAUGAAGGUCUUCGGAUCGUAAAACUCUGUUAUUGGGGAAGAACAAAUGUGUAAGUAACUAUGCACGUCUUGACGGUACCUAAUCAGAAAGCCACGGCUAACUACGUG
rnacentral:rRNA from 1 species